rnacentral:rRNA from 1 species
UGGGGAAUAUUGGACAAUGGGCGAAAGCCUGAUCCAGCAAUGCCGCGUGUGUGAAGAAGGCCUUCGGGUUGUAAAGCACUUUUGUCCGGAAAGAAAUCCUUGGCUCUAAUACAGUCGGGGGAUGACGGUACCGGAAGAAUAAGCACCGGCUAACUACGUGCCAGCAGCCGCGGUAAUACGUAGGGUGCAAGCGUUAAUCGGAAUUACUGGGCGUAAAGCGUGCGCAGGCGGUUUGCUAAGACCGAUGUGAAAUCCCCGGGCUCAACCUGGGAACUGCAUUGGUGACUGGCAGGCUAGAGUAUGGCAGAGGGGGGUAGAAUUCCACGUGUAGCAGUGAAAUGCGUAGAGAUGUGGAGGAAUACCGAUGGCGAAGGCAGCCCCCUGGGCCAAUACUGACGCUCAUGCACGAAAGCGUGGGGAGCAAACAGGAUUAGAUACCCUGGUAGUCCACGCCCUAAACGAUGUCAACUAGUUGUUGGGGAUUCAUUUCCUUAGUAACGUAGCUAACGCGUGAAGUUGACCGCCUGGGGAGUACGGUCGCAAGAUUAAAACUUAAAUGAAUUGACGGGGUCAUAGCUGUUUCCU